rnacentral:rRNA from 1 species
CACGAAUAAGCUUGCUUAUUUGGUGGCGACCGGCGCACGGGUGCGUAACGCGUAUGCAACCUACCCUGUACUGGGGGAUAGCCCGGAGAAAUUCGGAUUAAGACCCCAUAGUAUUGUAAUUUCGCAUGAUAUUACAAUUAAAGGUUACGGUACAGGAUGGGCAUGCGUCCUAUUAGCUAGAUGGUAAGGUAACGGCUUACCAUGGCUACGAUAGGUAGGGGGCCUGAGAGGGUGAUCCCCCACACUGGUACUGAGACACGGACCAGACUCCUACGGGAGGCAGCAGUGAGGAAUAUUGGACAAUGGACGCAAGUCUGAUCCAGCCAUGCCGCGUGCAGGAAGAAUGCCCUAUGGGUUGUAAACUGCUUUUAUUUGGGAAUAAACCCUUGGACGUGUCCGAGGCUGAAUGUACCAAAUGAAUAAGCACCGGCUAACUCCGUGCCAGCAGCCGCGGUAAUACGGAGGGUGCAAGCGUUAUCCGGAAUCAUUGGGUUUAAAGGGUCCGCAGGCGGUCCUAUAAGUCAGUGGUGAAAUCUCUCGGCUUAACCGAGAAACUGCCAUUGAUACUGUAGGACUUGAAUUCGGUCGAAGUGGGCGGAAUAUGUCAUGUAGCGGUGAAAUGCUUAGAUAUGACAUAGAACACCGAUAGCGAAGGCAGCUCACUA